UACGUAGGCAGCAAGCGUUGUUCGGAGUUACUGGGCGUAAAGGGUGUGUAGGCGGUCUUCUAAGUUUGGUGUGAAAUCUCCCGGCUCAACUGGGAGGGUGCGCCGAAAACUGGAAGGCUAGAGUACUGGAUGGGAGAGUGGAAUUCCUGGUGUAGCGGUGAAAUGCGUAGAUAUCAGGAGGAACACCUGUGGUGUAGACGGCUCUCUGGACAGUAACUGACGCUGAGACACGAAAGCUAGGGGAGCAAACGGG
rnacentral:rRNA from 1 species